GAUGAACGCUGGCGGCGUGCCUAAUACAUGCAAGUCGAGCGAACAGACGAGGAGCUUGCUCCUCUGACGUUAGCGGCGGACGGGUGAGUCACACGUGUAUCACCUACCUAUAAGACUGGUAUAACUUCGGGACACCGGAGCUAAUACCGGAUAAUCUCUUGAUCCACAGUGUUCAAUAGUGAAAGACGGUUUUGCUGUCUCUUAUAGAUGGAUCCGCGCCGCAUUGGCUAGUUGGUAAGGUAACGGCUUACCAAGGCAACGAUGCGUAGCCGACCUGAGAGGGUGAUCGGCCACACUGGAACUGAGACACGGUCCAGACUCCUACGGGAGGCAGCAGUAGGGAAUCUUCCGCAAAGGGCGAAAGCCUGACGGAGCAACGCCGCGUGAGUGAUGAAGGUCUUUGGAUCGUAAAACUCUGUUAUUAGGGAAGAACAAAUGUGUAAGUAACUAUGCACGUCUUGACGGUACCGAAUCAGAAAGCCACGGCUAACUACGUG
rnacentral:rRNA from 1 species